GCCUAACACAUGCAAGUCGAGCGGCAGCACAAGUAAGUUUACUUAUGAGUGUGGCGAGCGGCGGACGGGUGAGUAAUGCCUAGGGAUCUGCCCAGUCGAGGGGGAUAACAGCUGGAAACGACUGCUAAUACCGCAUACGCCCUACGGGGGAAAGAGGGGGACCUUCGGGCCUCUCGCGAUUGGAUGAACCUAGGUGGGAUUAGCUAGUUGGUGAGGUAAUGGCUCACCAAGGCGACGAUCCCUAGCUGUUCUGAGAGGAUGAUCAGCCACACUAGGGACUGAGACACUGGCCAGACUCCUACGGGAGGCAGCAGUGGUGGAAUAUUGCACAAUGGGGGGAAACCCUG
rnacentral:rRNA from 1 species